AGAGUUUGAUUCUGGCUCAGAACGAACGCUGGCAGCGUGGAUUAGGCAUGCAAGUCGAACGGGAUCCGGGUUUUUCAAUUCUUCGGAAGAGAAGUUCUCGGUGAGAGUGGCGAAAGGGUGAGUAACGCGUGGGCAAUCUGCCCUCUAGUUCGGGACAACGCUCCGAAAGGAACGCUAAUACCGGAUGUGGUGCCGUGUCGCAUGACAUGGUUUCCAAAGGUGGGGAUCUUCGGACCUGCCGCUAGAUGAGGAGCCCGCGUCCUAUCAGCUUGUUGGUGAGGUAAUGGCCCACCAAGGCUUACGGGUAGCUGGUCUGAGAGGAUGGUCAGCCACACUGGGACUGAGACACUGCCCAGACUCCUACGGGAGGCUGCAGUCGAGAAUCAUUCGCAAUGCACGAAAGUGUGACGAUGCGACGCUGCGUGGAGGAUGAAGGCCUUAGGGUCGUAAACUCCUGUCAGGAGGGAAAAGACAGCAGGGGACUAAUACCCCCUUGCUCCGAUGGUACCUCCAGAGGAAGCCACGGCUAACUCUGUGCCAGCAGCCGCGGUAAUACAGAGGUGGCGAGCGUUGUUCGGAUUUACUGGGCGUAAAGGGUGCGUAGGCGGCUUGCAAAGCUGGAUGUGAAAUCCCGGGGCUCAACCCCGGAACUGCAUCCGGAACUGGCAGGCUAGAGACCAGGAGGGGAGAGCGGAAUUCUAGGUGUAGCGGUGAAAUGCGUUGAUAUCUAGAAGAACACCGGUGGCGAAGGCGGCUCUCUGGAAUGGUUCUGACGCUGAGGCACGAAAGCGUGGGGAGCAAACAGGAUUAGAUACCCUGGUAGUCCACGCCGUAAACGGUGCGCACUUGGUGUGGGAGGAAUUGACCCCUUCCGUGCCGUAGCUAACGCGUUAAGUGCGCCGCCUGGGGAGUACGGCCGCAAGGUUAAAACUCAAAGAAAUUGACGGGGGCCCGCACAAGCGGAGGAGCAUGUGGCUUAAUUCGAUGCAACGCGAAGAACCUUACCAAGACUUGACAUAUACCUGCACGCCCCGUGAAAGCGGGGAAGCCUUCGAGGGUGGUAUACAGGUGCUGCAUGGCUGUCGUCAGUUCGUGCCGUGAGGUGUUUGGUUAAGUCCAGCAACGAACGCAACCCUUGUGUCUAGUUGCUAGUCCCGUUCUGCGGGACGCACUCUAGACAGACUGCCCGUACAAGCGGGAGGAAGGUGGGGAUGACGUCAAGUCCGUAUGGCCCUUACGUCUUGGGCUGCACACGUGCUACAAUGGCCGGUACAGUGGGAAGCAAUACCGCGAGGUGGAGCAAACCCUCAAAGCCGGCCCCAGUUCGGAUUGUAGUCUGAAACUCGACUACAUGAAGUUGGAUUCGCUAGUAAUGCCGUAUCAGCUACGACGGCGUGAAUACGUUCCCGGGCCUUGUACACACCGCCCGUCACAUCAUGAAAGCCGUCUGCACCCGAAGUCGCUGAGCCAACCAUUUAUUUGGAGGCAGGUGCCGAAGGUGUGGGUGGUGAUUGGGAUGAAGUCGUAACAAGGUA
rnacentral:rRNA from 1 species